rnacentral:tRNA from 1 species
GGGGGUAUAGCUCAGUUGGUAGAGCGCUUGCAUGGCAUGCAAGAGGUCAGCGGUUCGAGCCCGCUUAUCUCCACCA